rnacentral:rRNA from 1 species
UGUUGGGAUACUACCCUUGUUUGAAGGAUGCUCUAACCUCGACCUGUAAGCCAGGUCAGGGACAGUGUCAGGUGGGCAGUUUGACUGGGGCGGUCGCCUCCUAAAGGGUAACGGAGGCGCUCAAAGGGUCCCUCAGAAUGGUUGGAAAUCAUUCGCAGAGGGUAAAGGGAUAAGGGAGCUUGACUGCGAGAGAAACAGCUCGAGCAGGGACGAAAGGCGGACUUAGUGAUCUGG